AACACCCACAAACAACGUCACGACGCAACGUGGUUAAACAGUACGUUUAUUAAAGUAACUGGGUGAACGACAUCGGAGCGGACUGCAAAUCGCAACGCUACUUUCUCGAGUGCAGAUACUCUUCGAGACGGCUAAACAACGUGUCCAACUCGCUGAGACCUUUCCGCGUGCCGUUAUCCGAUUUCCUUUCCGCCUCCUGAGACAGCCGACUAAUCACGGACUUAUCUCCGCAACCUAACAGAGGCUGGGAGCCCGACAAAAGUAAAACAGCGUGCUAUGAACACGUUGUUACCUCUGCGCGGACAGCGCCGCCACAGAGACACUUACGCAUUGCCGCAUGUCUUUGUAGAUGGAUUCUAGCGUCGAGCGCAUACUAUGCAAUUCCGUCUUGAGUCCGGGAUAGACGUGGUCGCCUGCGGGGAACACGAUCUCCAGAUACCGCCUCAACAACCAGUCCAUGACGCUGCAUCCCCAACAGCCUUUGACCACCGUACCGUCGAGCCACACGGAGUAGUCGUCCUCACGUUGCUACAAGAGGAAAACUACGUCACCCGACACGCGGAAAAUAAAGACCGUCGCAAUAAACCGUACCUACGUGACCUACCAACGUAGGUUUUAUUCGAUGAAAGGUGACGCGGAGAUCUUGCAAUCUGGUCGCGUAAUCCUCUGGACGACACUGCGGCUUUGUAUUCUUUAUCGUCGUCGUUGCCGGCUUCGCCUCCUCGGAAGCGCCUAGAAAAAAGACGAUCAGGACCAGAGAGGAAGAGACCAUCACCGACAGCAUCGCCGCAGCAUGCCGCCCCAAUCCGCCGCCCAACUGCGCGUCCCAGAUACCACUCGUAGACUGUCAGCCUCGCGAGGAGACACCGCGGACCGGGGAAACGGAUAAGUUUACGAACAGAAAUCUCAAGAGAACGACGCUGACCCGGCAAGUACCGUCACGGAGACACGGUGGUUUUUAUUGAAUUUCCAGUGUAUCGAGCCACCGUGAUGCAGGUACGGUGGUUUUAUGUGAAGUGCCGCUACCUAUAGGCGAUGUGUUCCCUGACGGUGUGUGUUUUUUUGGGGAUAGACAACGUGGUUCUUGUACGUGGUUUUUACCCUGCUCAAUAAAGUCACGUUUUCCUAACACGGUGUUGUGUC
rnacentral:lncRNA from 1 species